UGCAGAGACCCCUGGACCCAGGCUUCAUGGAAUCUCUGCUGGAGCUCUGAGUGUUCUACUCCUGACAGCAUCAGCCAAAGGAAGGAAGGGACACCUGACCGUCACAGAUUGUGGUUUCAGUGGAUUGAGUUCCAGCCGUGGUUUCUUAACCCAACCGGGGUCAAGUCAUCCCCGCUCAAAGCCUGAGUUCUACAGCUAUUGGAAAUUCUCCCUCUCAAGAUAUAUUUCAAAAGUCAAAAUAAAUCACCUCACCUCACACAAAACAAGAAAAAUAAAGGGAAAAAAUCACUUCAAUCUGCACUCAGAGUUCAUCAGUUCUCUCUUUGGAUGUGGAGAGCAUUUUUCAUCAUGAGUCCUUUGGCGUUGUCUUGAUCAGAGUAGGUAAGUCUUUCACAGCUGAUCAUUGUGACAAUGUUGCUCUCCCUGUGUACGAUGUUCUCCUGGUUCUGCUCACUUCACUUUGCAUCAGUUCAUGUAAGUCUUCUGAGGUUUUUCUGAAAUCCAUCUGCUCAUCAUUUAUUUUACCACAAUGAUAUUCCAUCACAAUCAUACACCACAAUGUGUUCGGCCAUUCCCCAAUUGAGAUGCCCUUGACUUUCCAUAUCCCAAAGCCACAAAGCCCUGAGGGGUAGGAGAAAGCUUUCUGGUCUUGGGAUAACCUUCAGAUUUCCAAGACUCUGGAGUCCAGAUGGGAAGCAACUCUACUCUCAUUUCACUCAUAUUUGUGGAAACAACUCAGAUUCCAAAACAAUGGAUCUGGCCUCAAAUACUUCCUAGCUAUGUGUGACCUUGAGUAAGUCACUUAACUUUUGUUUGCCCCAGUUUCCUCAUCUGUAAAAUGGGGAUAAUAAUAGCACCUCCCUCCUAGGGUGUUGUGAGG
rnacentral:lncRNA from 1 species